rnacentral:rRNA from 1 species
UACGUAAGUGGCGAGCGUUAUCCGGAAUUACUGGGCGUAAAGCGUGCGUAGGCGGUUUAGUGUGUGGGAAUUGAAAGCCCGGGGCUCAACUCCGGAUCCGGUUCCCAAACUGCUAGACUCGAGCGUAUCAGAGGAGAGCGGAAUUCCCGGUGUAGCGGUAAUAUGCGUAGAUAUCAGGAGGAACACCGAUGGCGAAGGCAGGUCUCUGGGCUGACACUGACGCUCAUGCACGAAAGCGUGGGGAGCAAACAGG